rnacentral:rRNA from 1 species
AUACGGAGGGUCCAAGCGUUAUCCGGAAUCAUUGGGUUUAAAGGGUUCGUAGGCGGGUCAAUAAGUCAGAGGUGAAAUCUUGCAGCUUAACUGUAAAAUUGCCUUUGAAACUGUUGACCUUGAAUUACUGUGAAGUGGUUAGAAUAUGUAGUGUAGCGGUGAAAUGCUUAGAGAUUACAUAGAAUACCGAUUGCGAAGGCAGAUCACUAACAGUAUAUUGACGCUGAUGAACGAAAGCGUGGGUAGCGAACGGAAUUAGAAACCCCGGUAGUCC